UACGUAGGAGGCUAGCGUUGUCCGGAAUCAUUGGGCGUAAAGCGCGCGUAGGCGGUCAGGUAAGUCCGGUGUGAAAGUCAAAGGCUCAACCUUUGAAUGCCGCUGGAUACUGCCUGACUUGAGUCCGGAAGGGGCGAGUGGAACUCCUGGUGUAGCGGUGGAAUGCGCAGAUAUCAGGAAGAACACCAACGGCGAAGGCAGCUCGCUGGGACGGUACUGACGCUGAGACGCGAAAGCGUGGGGAGCGAACAGG
rnacentral:rRNA from 1 species